rnacentral:ncRNA from 11 species
UGAUAUGACGACAAAAUAGCUGUGCACCAGUCUGAAAGGAUACCAGUACUCGGUAACCGUUGAAGUAUAUCUAACUAUACCCAAAUUUCUGAUA